CGGAAUGACCCACUCUACAGACAUAUUCCUCAAGUGCAGCCCGAGCAUUCUUCACAUGCCACCCCCAGCUUAAUAAACCCCGCCAGUACAUUUCCGUUGCGCGUGGCUUGCGCAAGGCCAGGCUCCUUCCUAAGGGCGCCACCUACUCAGACCCCUUCUUUCUCCAGCACUCGCCCAGCCCUCCACUCCUUCCUGCGCUACAUCCUUCUGCUUGUGGGUUGGACCCUGCACACCGGGGCUCCGGGGCUCUUCACAGCUGCCUUCUGCGUUAGGUACUUUCCUUGUUGCUGUCCCCGAAUCCCUGAUGGGAAGCCACAUAAGGGACAAAAAAGGUCGAUUUUGGCUGUCGUUUGAGGGGAGGCAGUCCAUUAUGGCGAGUGAGGCUUAGUGGCAGGAGGGUGGAGCGGCCAGCCAUACUGAAUCCGCAGCCAGGAAGCCGAGGGCUGUGCACCGGAAGUGGGGCUGGGUUAUAAAACCGUAAGAAUUCCCCUACAGUGACUUCCUUCCUUCAGUGAGCUCCUAAUGGUUCCCGUGACCUUCCCAGAACACCUCAAAGAGCGGGGGAGGCGGGGCGGGGACCAACUGCUCAAACAUACGGCCUAUCUGGGGGUGCGUUUUACAUCCAAACCACAGGAGCUUCCUUCAGGCAUCUAAUUAUCAGAUGUCAUCUCCUCGGAGAGGCGGGUCUAGUUCCGUCUCUGUCGCCGCUGUGAUAAGAUGCUCUGACCAAAAGUAGCGAAAGGGAGGAAAGAGAAGAGGACUUGUUUGGCUUAUAUUGCGGCGUCACAGUCCAUCAAGGAAAGCCAGGUUCCUCCUGUGGAAACUGAAUGCCUAUGCAGGAACGUCAAAGGACCUGAUCUUCAAGGCGGUUUGAGGUCAUCACUGACACCAUCACAGGCCUCAUCACCUCCAGCAGUGGCGGCGGUGACAGCCAGUUCCUCCCUUUCUUCAGAAGAUCGAAUAUCUACAGACACCAGGCAUCGUUGUCGUGUCCAGACUCAGUCAGUGAACAAAAAACACAGAUAUUCUUUCUCCAUAUCGCUUAUAUUUUAUCUUAAAAUAUGCAAGCUACCUUUUAGAGAGCUAAGUUGAACGCUUUGGUGAGACCUAACAUAUGUAAGUUGCUCAGACUGUUGCUCAAUUUGGAGUGGUUGAGACAACUGUAAGAAGACUGGAAAAAAUACUGCAUCGGUCUGGAAGGAUUCCACUUUCAGAAUACUCCACAGGCAUCUUUAAAUUCUUCUAUUUUAGGAAAAUCAAAACCAGAAAAGCACGAAUACAGUUUAGACAAGAAGAAGAAUAAAAAAAAAAAAAAACUCUCAAAGACAUCCACUCAAUAAACCCAAAAGAAGGCCUCAUAAAACGUUUAAGGUAAAUAUUUACCUUUUUAUUCUUAAAAAUGCGUUUUUACUGUUCAAGGGCUUUAAAAAUUGACAGCCA